AGCAGCCGCGGUAAUUCCAGCUCCAAUAGCGUAUAUUAAAGUUGUUGCAGUUAAAAAGCUCGUAGUUGAAUUUCGGGAUCAAUGCGUCGGUCGUGCCUUCGGUACGUACUAGCGUCAUUGGUUCCUCCCUUCUGAAGAACCGUGAUGUCAUUAAUUUGGUGUUACGGGGAAUCAGGACUGUUACCUUGAAAAAUUAGAGUGUUUAAAGCAGGCUAACGCUUGAAUACAUUAGCAUGGAAUAAUGAAAUAGGACGUUCGAACCUAUUUUGUUGGUUUCUAGGAUCGACGUAAUGAUUAAUAGGGAUAGUUGGGGGCAUUAGUAUUCAAUUGUCAGAGGUGAAAUUCUUGGAUUUAUUGAAGACUGACUACUGCGAAAGCAUUUGCCAAGGAUGUUUUCAUUAAUCAAGAACGAAAGUUAGGGGAUCGAAGACGAUCAGAUACCGUCGUAGUCUUAACCAUAAACUAUGCCGACUAGGGAUCGGAUGAUGUUAAUUUUAUAAUGACUCAUUCGGCGCCUUAC
rnacentral:misc_RNA from 1 species